AAUAAAAUAAAAUAAAACACAAAACAAAACGAAAGUAAAGGAGAUAGAGACACGUGGGCUUGAAUUGGAAACCAUCAUGGGCGUGACAAACUUGGGAAGAGGCACAGCCUGGGUUUUUAUGGGCAAUCAUCAUGGGCGGGAUUGGAAUAGCCAACAAAAACCCAAGGGCUGGAUUGCAAUGGAAAGCAGCUGGCAUGCACUUUGUAUAACACGCAUCCCUGCAGAUCAUGAAAGUCAUAUUGUCAGCAAUCUUUCUGUUUUGAGCUGUGUCGGACGGCAAUCUGGCCUCAGGACAAAGGAAAAAGACAUGACAGCUCGGACAUCACAGAUCCACCUCCCAUACGAAGGAUAGGCGGAUCAAUGAUAGAUCCGAGGGAAAGAAGAUGAAUGCACAAGCUUCAGUGGACAAGAACAGCAAAGGCUUCCAAGAGCCCAGAUCGGUGCAUCUGGGAGGUAAAAUUUCAUAUCCCUGCAAAUUAAGUUGUUGUAGAUCUGGUAAUGAUACCUGUACUCAGUUCUGUGGUGUAUGGAUCUGUGAUUUAAUUGUGCUCCUCAUCCAUGCAUCGCAAAACUGAGCUGCAGAAAAUUAAUUGCUCAAAACUGUGCCUCAGUGCUGGAUCUGCAACAACCACCUCCAAACUUGCAUCUGUGAAUGUGCUGCUCAUGUUAAUUACUAUAAAUUUCGGCAUAGGAUAGAUGUGGUUGAUGUUAAUGUAGACUUGCUGAUGGGUGCAUGAUUCCAGUAUAGGAUGCUCUUUAUUUUUGGAUUUUUCAAGUUUUUUUAUUUAUUUUUUUAUGUUAUGUAUGUUUGUUUGUUUUUAUUUUUUAUUUUUUUUCAUGUUUUUUAAUAUUUUGAAAAAUUUUAGGUAUUUAACUGCAUCUAGAAAUUUAAACGAAUAAUAAACUUGAAAAUCAAACGAAAAAUAAAAUAAGGAAAGAGUUUAGAAAAAUUGGGUUGCCUUCCAAUAAGCACUUUAUUUUAAGUCUGUAGCUAGACGUCGCAGAGUGGUCAGAUCACUGGUUCCUUUAGAGUCAGUGACUCGCGUGCAAUAUCGAAGGGUGACUCCAAGUAUGGUUUCAGCCUAUGACCAUUCACCUUGAAUGUGUUGCCAUUAAUUUCGCUUGAAAUGUCAACCGCCCCAUGAGGAUAAACCUUAGUAACCACAUAGGGACCAUUCCAACGAGAUUUUAACUUCCUUGGAAAUAACUUCAACCUUGAACUGAAUAACAAAACUUUUUUCCCUGGAUGAAAGUCUUUUCUGAGAAUCUGAUUGUUAUGAAAUGCCUUGGAUUUUUCUUUGUAAAUGCGCGAACUUUCAUAAGCAUCAUUACGAAUUUCCUCAAGCUCAUUAAACUGGAACUUACGUUUUUCUCUAGCAGAAUCAUAAGAAAAAUUCAACUCUUUAAUAGCCCAAAACGCCUUUGGCUUGUUGAAGGCCUUCAAACAAGCCUCAUCAAAAACAAAAGGAGCAGCCUUAGCCAAUAAAUUACACAGUGGUCGGCUAAUCUUGGAGAAUUCCUUGAUGAAUCGUCUAUAAAACCCAGCAUUACCAACAGUUGUCGGUGGUGGCAGCUUUGCAAAAUUACUGAAGUACUCUUGUCCAAAAACAGAGAAGAAAUUAAACUAGUUAACAGACAAAAAAGGAGCACUAGCUAGAUUAAGAUAAUGUUAUUUAUUUAUUUAUUUUCAUCAACUUUGAGUGUGUUAAUGAAGGUCUUCCCUUCUGCUAGAUCAUUGUUGUCGAGAAAAUUCAGAAAAUCUUUGAAGCUGCUUUCUUUGUACCUCCCAGGAUUCUCUUCACUCUCAAGCUCAUUGGCAGUGCCCAUCUUCUCCUCCAAUCCCAAACUAUGCAGGCUAGCAAUGGAGAUUCUUGUCCUGUCACUGUUCAACGUGACUCGGUGCACACCACUCUUGUACAAUCCAUUGCUUAGUACUUCAAAAUGGUCACCCACAUGAACCUGGAGAGCACCAUGAAGCUGUGGGACUUGCUUCCAUUUGUUGUCUCCGGUGUGCAUGAUUUCGAGUCCCGGGCUGCUCUGAAGAAGAAUGGUUAAGCAGCUGUAGUCUGAAUGGGGUGGCAACCCUAGUGCAAUUUCAGGAUUAGGGCAGGGUGGGUAGCAGUUCACUGUAAUAACCUGCAUUCCAUCUUCCAUUUUCUUGCUUAUGUAGGUUGGACCUAUCCCUAGGCUCUCAGUGAUUGCUUCUGUUAUCUCCAUGCUCAGUUUCUUCA